rnacentral:lncRNA from 1 species
GAGGCGUUGGGGUUAUGUCCACCUUCUGAGGUAUACGUCUCUAUUGGCUAUGAGUGUGUAGAGUCUUGACAUGUAAUUGCUUAUAGAGAAUUGUAGUCGAUGGUAAAUCCAAGCGUCUCUCGACCUAAACAAGGACUAUUUCACUUUAACUCUCUCGAGCUUAAAGCGUGACUAACGGUACGAAUUCUCCAAGAAGUUAGUCCAGGUACGGCACUAGCUUUUUAAUAGGAAAGGGUGUCCUACUACCUUGACAUUAUCUCUUUUCCAGACAAAUAACUUUUCUCUCGAACAAGUCAGAUGUUAGACUGGCGUUGGUCUAUGCGUCUUCUUUUCUAGACAAAUAACCUUUCUCUCGAACAGGUUAGAUGUUAGAAUGGCGUGUUCUUGUGUUUGAAC